rnacentral:rRNA from 1 species
UACGUAGGGGGCAAGCGUUGUCCGGAAUCAUUGGGCGUAAAGCGCGUGUAGGCGGCCCGGUAAGUCCGCUGUGAAAGUCCAGGGCUCAACCCUGGGAUGCCGGUGGAUACUGUCGGGCUCGAGUCCGGAAGAGGCGAGUGGAAUUCCUGGUGUAGCGGUGGAAUGCGCAGAUAUCAGGAGGAACACCAAUAGCGAAGGCAGCUCGCUGGGACGGUACUGACGCUGAGGUGCGAAAGCGUGGGGAGCAAACAGG